rnacentral:rRNA from 1 species
GAGAGCAGGCGCUGCACGAAGAGGUUGGUAACCAUGCGCUGCCACCAAGCCAGGCCCUCCACCGAGGACGUUAGGACCGCAGCGGCGUCGUCACCAAGGUAAGGCCGCCGUAGUCCCCUCGUGUGUUGCAGGUGCUCGUCGUUCGUCUCGGCCGGUUAGCCGGUUACUACGUCGUCGCGACCGGUACUCCUCUGCGGACGGCACCGCCUGCGCCUCUGUUGUUGGUACCCGCACCUUCUGCCAAAACCUAGGACACUCGGCGGCGGCGACGGAGCAGCAGUUCGUUGCACCCGGAAGACGACGAGGUACAGGUUGUUCAGCGGGUGCUCCGCAGUCACACCGUAACGAUCUAGGUCGAAGGGGGACGUUAGCAGAGACGGCGGUCGUGAACGUGCUUUAGCACGACCAAAGACAUCAAGUUCUAGUUUCCGUUCUUAGUCGGUUUAUACUACUACUCUUGUUCCGAUUACUACCUCUUGGAAGUAGAUAGCUUCGACUCGUCAGAUAACCCUAUGAUUCAAAGUUACGCGUAGGAUUCAAAGUCAAUGGACUUUAGUUCCGGUCAAAGUCAGCUACGGCUUCAUUUGAUGGUGUACAUUCAAAUCCCUGUGUGUAAUCAAAGGACGAUCCCUAAAUUACCAACGGCUUGAAAUACGUGUAUACCGCAUCAUCUCUACGUACGAAGCAAUAGGACGUCAAUAGACUUAAAAAAGACUGGACGUGAGAAGAACGGAAAUCAAGACAAGAAUUGUCUUAAUAAUGAAUGACUGUCUGCUUAUGAACAAAAGGAAGUAGUAGACGUAAAGUUUACUGAGUAAUACGUAGUCCGAUCGAUCCGUUAUACUUUAAAAUGAAGAACCGAUAUCAGUGGCUCGUGACGUUAAACUUUAAUGUCGGUGCUUAAAACCUAAUCAGCUUUCCCGUAAGAAUUAGACUAUGUCAGUUGGCUCGUGACGUUAAAAGUUUUGUUCUUCGCCGACGAUGGUAUAAUAAAUACAAAUGUUAGUUGUUUGAUGUAGGACUGUAAGGAAGAAUAAAAACAAACGUAAGUUUGCACUACUUGAACUCUUUUAGGUACGUGAAGUUAACCUGUCCUCAAAAGACGGUGCAUUAGCUACUACGUGAAGUGUACUGUCUUAACAAACAAUUUCCUUGAAAAACCGUUCUUUAUGUGUUGGCACAGUAAGUCACAACCUGGAUACAAUAACCGUUCUUUAUGUGAUUACACAUCGAGUGACGACUCCAGUCGUUCUCCCCCAUGUACGUGUAGACUGUGGAAAAAGAGAAGGCCGCGGAACGAUAAACGUAAAGGGUAAGCAUGGAUAGUAAAAAGUUGUCGUAAUCAUAACUACACCAUACAUAUGACUUGUUAACCGAACGGUACAUAAAAACCACAAGGUUGAACCUUGUACCCCUUCUUUACUGAUGUAACAUAUGUAGACUAUUUGUAAAUAACAGAACCCUACAUAAAAACCACAAGCUUGACCCUUGUACCCCGU